rnacentral:rRNA from 1 species
UGCGUAGGUGGUUUCUUAAGUCAGAGGCGAAAGGCUACGGCUCAACCGUAGUUAGCCUUUGAAACUGGGAAACUUGAGUGCAGGAGAGGAGAGUGGAAUUCCUAGUGUAGCGGUGAAAUGCGUAGAUAUUAGGAGGAACACCAGUUGCGAAGGCGGCUCUCUGGACUGUAACUGACACUGAGGCACGAAAGCGUGGGGAGCAAACA